rnacentral:rRNA from 1 species
CCGUGACCUGCAUUCGAUACGGUCGAGCUAGAGUGUGGUAGGGGAGACUGGAAUUCCUGGUGUAGCGGUGGAAUGCGCAGAUAUCAGGAGGAACACCAAUGGCGAAGGCACUUCUCUGGGCUGUAACUGACGCUGAGGAGCGAAAGCGUGGGGAGCGAACAGGAUUAGAUACCCUGGUAGUCCACGCCGUAAACGUUGGGCGCUAGAUGUGGGUCACAUUCCACGUGAUCCGUGUCGCAGCUAACGCAUUAAGCGCCCCGCCUGGGGAGUACGGCCGCAAGGCUAAAACUCAAAGGAAUUGACGGGGGCCCGCACAAGCGGCGGAGCAUGCGGAUUAAUUCGAUGCAACGCGAAGAACCUUACCAAGGCUUGACAUGUAGAGGAAAACUGCAGAAAUGUAGUCCCCCGUAAGGGUCUCUAUGCAGGUGGUGCAUGGUUGUCGUCAGCUCGUGUCGUGAGAUGUUGGGUUAAGUCCCGCAACGAGCGCAACCCUCGUCCUAUGUUGCCAGCACGUAAAGGUGGGAACUCAUGGGAGACUGCCGGGGUCAACUCGGAGGAAGGUGGGGAUGACGUCAAAUCAUCAUGCCCCUUAUGUCUUGGGCUUCACGCAUGCUACAAUGGCCGGUACAAAGGGCUGCAAUACCGCAAGGUGGAGCGAAUCCCAAAAAGCCGGUCUCAGUUCGGAUUGAGGUCUGCAACUCGACCUCAUGAAGUCGGAGUCGCUAGUAAUCGCAGAUCAGCAACGCUGCGGUGAAUACGUUCCCGGGCCUUGUACACACCGCCCGUCAAGUCACGAAAGUCGGUAACACCCGAAGCCGGUGGCCUAACCGUAAGGAA